rnacentral:rRNA from 1 species
GACGAACGCUGACGGUGUGCUUUAGACAUGCAAGUCGAACGAGAAAGCCCUUCGGGUUAGUAAAGUGGCGAACGGGUGAGUAACACGUAGGGCAAUCUGCCCCUCGCAGGGGGACAACCGGAGGAAACUCCGGCUAAUACCCCGUAAGUUCAAAGGGAGGCAUCUCUCUUCGAAGAAAGGUAGCUUCGGCCAUCCGGCGAGGGAUGAGCCCGCGGUGCAUUAGCUAGUUGGUGGGGUAACGGCCUACCAAGGCGACGAUGCAUAGCUGGUCUGAGAGGAUGAUCAGCCACACUGGGACUGAGACACGGCCCAGACUCCUACGGGAGGCAGCAGUCGGGAAUCUUGCGCAAUGGGCGAAAGCCUGACGCAGCAACACCGUGUGUGUGAGG